rnacentral:rRNA from 1 species
GUGCCAGCAGCCGCGGUAAUACGUAGGGUGCGAGCGUUAAUCGGAAUUACUGGGCGUAAAGCGUGCGCAGGCGGCUCGACAAGUCAGAUGUGAAAGCCCCGGGCUCAACCUGGGAAUGGCGUUUGAAACUGUCGGGCUAGAGUUUGGCAGAGGGAGGUGGAAUUCCACGUGUAGCAGUGAAAUGCGUAGAGAUGUGGAGGAACACCGAUGGCGAAGGCAGCCUCCUGGGCCAGAACUGACGCUCAUGCACGAAAGCGUGGGGAGCAAACAGGAUUAGAUACCCCCGUAGUCC